rnacentral:rRNA from 1 species
GCAUAUCAAUAAGCGGAGGAAAAGAAACUAACCAGGAUUCCCUCAGUAAGGGCGACUGAAGCGGGAAAAGCCCAUGCGAAAUCUGCGCUUUACUGCGCCGAAUUGUGGUCUGGAGACACAGGCGUUAGCGGCCGGACGAAGUCCCUUGGAACGGGGCAGCAGAGAGGGUGAAACUCCCGUCCGUCUGGCUUCGCGAGCCGGUAGUCCACGAGUCGAGUUGUUUGGGAAU